rnacentral:rRNA from 1 species
CAGCAGCCGCGGUAAUACGGAGGGAGCUAGCGUUAUUCGGAAUUACUGGGCGUAAAGCGCACGUAGGCGGCUUUGUAAGUUAGAGGUGAAAGCCUGGAGCUCAACUCCAGAAUUGCCUUUAAGACUGCAUCGCUUGAAUCCAGGAGAGGUGAGUGGAAUUCCCAGUGUAGAAGUGAAAUUCGUAGAUAUUGGGAAGAACACCAGUGGCGAAGGCGGCUCACUGGACCGACACUGACGCUGAGGCGCGAAAGCGUGGGGAGCAAACAGGAUUAGAUACCCCUGUAGUCCCUGUCUCUUAUAC